UUCAAAUGCUCCACAGUUUCUGACAAGCCUUUGAUUGCAGGUGCAAUAAACCCGAAUCUCACUGAUUAUCAUUAGAAUGGUGUCUUAAAAUUGGCAAUGAAGGUCGACAAGCCACUGCGAAGUGCUCCUGCACUAAGGUAAUGCGCACAACUUGAACAAGUUUGGCAUAUUUCUGUGAGUGCAUGAAGGAGGAAGCAAGUUAAAUGGUAAAAUUCAAACUAAUUGUGGUGAACACCUGUACUUAUACAUGCCCACAAGCUAUUUGAGUGGAUGUGGCUUCAAUCUAACAGAGAGCAGGAUCUUAAGGAAGAUGUUAAGCAUGGAUAACUUCAAAGGGGUUCGAAGGGGAAACUUUUAGAAUUCAUCAGAUUGCCAUUUUGAACUAUACUUCUCUUGAAGCAUAGAGGUGAGAAAAUAUGUGGGGCCUUUAGGCUGGCAGUGUUCUCAUCUGAUCAAUUACUUGGAGGUAAUUAGUGGGUACUAUGUUUAAUUGCUUUGAGGACGGUGACAGUUUUGAAAGCUGCUUACUUUGUCUCUUCGAAAUUUGAGUGCUUGAUGUUAUUUGAUCAUUCGAUUAAUCUGAGAGGGGGAUGCUAUUUUUUAGAAGACAAAAAAAUUGAUUUUGGCGUUUUAUUGUGUUUAAGUACCAAGGGAGCAAAUGUGAGGUUU